AAGAAAAAAAUAUUGGCAACAAAAAGACGCUUGGGGGUCCUCAUAUCCCCCCUCACCCCAAGGCGGAUUGGUCGAUGGACAGGCCUGAGAACGCCAUCUAAAAGAAGAGCCCAGGGCUUCAACCUCCUCCCCCUCAG